CGAUCACCGGCGUGAAGGGACAAUUAGGGUUCCACGGGUCACGGAUUGGAGGGGAUCAAUGAGUCUGUUCUUUGGGGAUUCAGUUGAAGAGGUUUUCUUGAGCUAUGGUUGUGCUUGAUCAGUAGUCUUCCUGCUGGAUUCCUGCUUGAUCCGUUUGAUAGCAGCAAGGAAGGAUUUUAGCAGCGAGGUUGUGUUGCUGUGAUGCUGGAAUUGUGGUCAUUGAGGUGGUUUACAGCAGCGUUCUAGUUCAGCAACUUCUCUUGUUGCCAGCAGCAAGUUUGAUCCGAACAGAGGAGUUGAUCCCAGUAGGUUGUUCUGUUCUGUUGUGUGCUCCUGUUUCGACAGCAACCCCAUUCCAGAAGCUUGA